AUCAUUUUGUAGUUCAUAAGCAUGAUGAUUGGGUUUUCACACUCAUGUGUGAGGUGUGCCUUCCUCGAACCUUGUUACGACAUCAGCACAUUACCCAUCUGAUG
rnacentral:snoRNA from 1 species